rnacentral:rRNA from 1 species
GUUUGAUCAUGGCUCAGAACAAACGCUAGCGGCGUGCCUAACACAUGCAAGUCGAACGAGAAAUCCUGAGCAAUCGGGAGAGUAAAGUGGCGCACGGGUGAGUAACGCGUGGGUAAUCUGCCUUGGAGUCGGGAAUAACACCUCGUAAGGGGUGCUAAUACCUGAUAAGAUUCCGAUGACCUCGGUUAUUGGAUUUAAAGAUGGUUGAGGCUUGCAAGCUAUCGCUCCAAGAUGAGCCCGCGUACCAUUAGCUAGUUGGUAGGGUAACGGCCUACCAAGGCAAUGAUGGUUAGCUGGUCUGAGAGGAUGGCCAGCCACCCUGGAACUGAGAUACCGUCCAGACUCCUACGGGAGGCAGCAGUGAGGAAUCUUGCGCAAUGGGGGAAACCCUGACGCAGCAACGCCGCGUGAGUGAUGAAGGCCUUCCGGUCGUAAAGCUCUGUCACAUGGGAAGAAAGUUGCCGUGAUGAAUAACCACGGGAAUUGACGGUACCGUCAGAGGAAGCACCGGCUAACUCCGUGCCAGCAGCCGCGGUAAUACGGAGGGUGCAAGCGUUGUUCGGAAUUAUUGGGCGUAUAGAGUGUGUAUGCGGCCUUGUAAGUCAGAUGUGAAAUUCCUUGGCUUAACCAGGGAAGGGCAUUUGAAACUGCCUGGGCUUGAGUACGGGAGGGGGAAGCGGAAUUCCCGGUGUAGAGGUGAAAAUUCGUAGAUAUCGGAGGAACACCGGGUGGCGAAGGCGGGCUCCCUGGACCGAUACUGACACUGAUACGCGAAAAGCGUGGGGAGCAAUUAGGAUUAGAUCCCCUGGCAAUCCCCGCCGCAAAUCGUUGGGUACUACGUGUUGUGGGUAUUUGACCCCUGCAGUGCCGAAGCUAACGC